UGGCGAUUGGCCCGUAGGUUGAAAACAUUGCCAUGUGUAAAUUUUUGACGCUUUGUGCCGUUUUCGGCGAAGAGAACGGCGAAAAGAAGAUGAUUAAUUGUUCGCUUGUUCGCGAUACAAAAUUGUAUGUCAUUAAAUUGUCAUACAUUUCUAAGAAACAUCUUGAGUGCCUCUGUGAUGAUCAUCGCAACACCCAUUGCCAAACUGCCAUCUGACAUUAUUCGCCGGUAAGUUCUGUGAAUAAAACCGAAGUCCAUGGAAGAUUGAGUGACACUUUAUUACCUCAAAAUGAAAUUGGCAACACAAAUAAAGUGACAGCAAUUACAAAAACAGUUAACACCACGUAACUGACAGAGAGGAGAAUAGAAGUGAGGCCCCGAUUCCUUGCGCUCGGUAUAUUUAUAUUAUUUAUUGGCAACAUAUUUCCUGUUGUGGCGUCCUCUUGCCGCGCGGUGAGUCGUCCUGUGCCCUUUUGCAUUACAAAGUCCGACAUCCCUGUGGUUGUUUACUUCAUUUUAGCACUAUUUCCUUUUUGUUAUUGAAACAACUCACAAUGUCAUUAUUACCGCGCACAUUAUUAAUUUAUUUAAUCGCGUCUUUAAAUAAAUUGAUAAGGUCAAAUAAAUUUAUAAUUGUGUCCUUUUAUACCUAAGACAAAAUUUAUUUUGUUAGAAGAACUUGACACUCAAGGAGAUGAUCAUGGAUGCUUGUCCUCGUAAAAAAUUGUUUUUAUUCAAAAAACAAAUGGCAUGAAAUAGGGUCGCAGACCGUGACCGAAACUGGUAGAGCCAUUUGUUUUUUGAAUAAAACAAUUUUUUACCAAAUUUAUUUUCAUUUCGUUUUAACAUCUUUCCAACUCCAUUUAAUUUUAAUUUUUUUUUAUCCCAGGCCAAGAGAAAAUGUCUUGGCCUAGUUGGCCUGUGUCUUUUUUGAGCUUGCGGCAGGCGAGCACCAAUCUUAUAUCUAUUAGGGCAUUUUUUUCCGACCAGUUUCGAAAAUUUACAAAUUUUUAGCAAUGAUUUUUUUUAUUUAUUAUCAUCUAUUAUUAUUCACAUUUUGAUCCUUUAUACUUUUAGUAUCCAAUUUGAAGUCAGCUUCAUGAUCACCUCAUUCUUUAUUCCAUUAUAUUUGCAUCAAGUAUCCAUUAUUUCAACUUCAUGUGGCUACUGCCUAUUGCAACAAUCAAAGAUUCUCUUUUUAUCUCUGUCUGAGGAUCAGGUUUAACCUAGUCAUUUUUUAACCUUUUUGUAACUGUACAAUGAAUAAGUUGCUUAUUUAAAUUUUCUAAUUUAUUCGCAGCUCUCGCAGUCGGCAAUUGUAUUUUUAUGUUUUUUUAAUGAACUUAAAUCUUAGCAAAAUAAUUAUGUCUAAUUUUGAUCAAUCAUUGUGUGCCUGAUAUUUUCUAUUGUAUAAGUCUUCUGACAAUCUAAGUUUCUUUGAACUCUUUAAAUAUACUACAAUUUAAGUCACCUUUAAAAGUGUUUAAUAAUUUAAUAAAUUAAAAAUUGCAUCAGGGGUGUUUCUUUUUGUUUUGGGCAACAAUAAAAAAAAAAAACACCACAA